UGGAAAACUUCCGGCGUGUCUACAGCUAAAAACGUGUCAGUUUAUUGUCCCCGAGUCUUAUAGUAAUAUUAUUUCGUCUUUUAGCGAAAACACUGAAAACAUUAGUGGAUAGUAAUAAUGACGUUAAAAUAAUAAUAUUAAUAAUACAAUAUGCAUGCAACAACAACUCUAAACAACUAAUUUGAUCCAUUGUCCACGCUUAAAGACUUAAAUUAAAGGUGCAGGUGCUUUUUCCGGUAUUAACAAUGUCGUUGCUUAAAUUACUUUUACUCGGUUCAACUAGGUACUCGUUUUGAAUUUGUGCGAUACGACAACGGCGAUGUAAAUUUUCCCGUUUCUCUGCGUUGCACACUUUUUUGUCAAUAUACAUACUUUGUCGGUACACAUACUCUGGCAUUGUAAAUUUUUCAUUAUUAUUAUAUUUUCUAUAGACAUUCGUAUACAGCCCUCUACUCGAACGAUCCCUCCGCAGUUAAAUUUUUAAACGGACAUUGUGUUGUGUUAUUGACGCAUGAAAAAAAAAAA